ACCGUACUCCUACGGGAGGCAGCAGUGGGGAGUUUUGGACAAUGGGGGCAACCCUGAUCCAGCAAUGCCGCGUGAGUGAAGAGGGCCUUCGGGUUGUAUAGCUCUGUUGUCAGGGAAGAAACGGUAGUAGCUAAUAUCUAUUACUAAUGACGGUACCUGAAGAAUAAGCACCGGCUAACUACGUGCCAGCAGCCGCGGUAAUACGUAGGGUGCAAGCGUUAAUCGGAAUUACUGGGUGUAAAGCGUGCGCAGGCGGUUGUGUAAGUCAGAUGUGAAAUCCCCGUGCUCAACCUGGGAAUUGCAUUUGAGACUGCACGGCUAGAGUGUGGCAGAGGGGGGUAGAAUUCCACGUGUAGCAGUGAAAUGCGUAGAUAUGUGGAGGAAUACCGAUGGCGAAGGCAGCCCCCUGGGAUGACACUGACGCUCAUGCACGAAAGCGUGGGGAGCAAACAGGAUUAGAAACCCUUGUAGUCCUUGAC
rnacentral:rRNA from 1 species